rnacentral:antisense_RNA from 16 species
CUUAAUGGUGGGCUGUGCGCGGGACACCUUCGGGUGUGCCGGGUGCCUUCUUCCCGGUUGACCAACCUGUGCACAGUCCGCCACCCA